rnacentral:rRNA from 1 species
UAUGUAGGAGACGAGCGUUGUCCGGAAUUACUGGGCGUAAAGCGCGUGUAGGCGGAUGGGCAAGUCUGCUGUGAAAGCUCCUGGCUUAACCGGGAGUGGUCGGUGGAAACUGCCAAUCUGGAGGACGGUAGAGGUAGGUAGAAUUCCCGGUGUAGUGGUGAAAUGCGUAGAGAUCGGGAGGAAUACCUGUGGCGAAGGCGGCCUACUGGGCCGGACCUGACGCUGAGACGCGAAGGCGUGGGGAGCGAACGGG